AACGAACGCUGGCGGCAUGCCUAACACAUGCAAGUCGAACGAGACCUUCGGGUCUAGUGGCGCACGGGUGCGUAACGCGUGGGAACCUGCCCUUAGGCUCGGAAUAACUCCCCGAAGGGGGUGCUAAUACCGGAUAAUGUCUUCGGACCAAAGAUUUAUCGCCCUUGGAUGGGCCCGCGUUGGAUUAGCUAGUUGGUAGGGUAAAAGCCUACCAAGGCGACGAUCCAUAGCUGGUCUGAGAGGAUGAUCAGCCACACUGGGACUGAGACACGGCCCAGACUCCUACGGGAGGCAGCAGUGGGGAAUAUUGGACAAUGGGCGAAAGCCUGAUCCAGCAAUGCCGCGUGAGUGAUGAGGGCCUUAGGGUUGUAAAGCUCUUUUACCCGGGAUGAUAAUGACAGUACCGGGAGAAUAAGCUCCGGCUAACUCCGUG
rnacentral:rRNA from 1 species